rnacentral:misc_RNA from 1 species
UUGUGGAGGAGGACGCCGAAGGUGGGGCUAAUGACUGGGGUGAAGUCGUAACAAGGCAGCCGUACCGGAAGGUGCGGCUGGAUCACCUCCUAACAGGGAGACAACAAAAUGUUUAAUAUUAUUAUUUUGUCACCUUAGGUCGAUCGGUAUCUCACGUUUUUAAUUUAUUAAGAAUUUCAUUUCCUAAGUUUUUCUAGGUCACACCCAUUAUUUUUCCUGGGCCAUUAGCUCAGGUGGUUAGAGCGCACCCCUGAUAAGGAUGAGGUCCCUGGUUCAAGUCCAGGAUGGCCCAUAUCUCUAUGUUGGGGGUAUAGCUCAGUUGGUAGAGCGCCUGCUUUGCAAGCAGGAUGUCAGCGGUUCGAGUCCGCUUACCUCCACUGAUUACCACCUCUUCCAUAACCGGUAGAAAGGAAAUUUUUUGAGUUGUGAUCAAAUUCUGAAAGAAUCUAGCUUCCUAAUGAAAUUAUUAAGAUGCUGGACUCAUUGAAUUAAUUUCAUUGUUUUCAGAGAACCUUGACAACUGCAUAGAUUAUUUUUAAAGACAAUAAGCAUCUUUAAUGAUGCAGAUUUAUUAUUUGUGCGAAUGCAUUAAUAACAAUUCUAUUAAGCUGAUGCUUCAAUUUUGAAGUUAUUGGUCAAGCUACAA